rnacentral:rRNA from 1 species
AGACCUACGGGGGGCAGCAGUAGGGAAUCUUCGGCAAUGGGGGCAGCCCUGACCGAGCAACGCCGCGUGAGUGAAGAAGGUUUUCGGAUCGUAAAGCUCUGUUGUAAGAGAAGAACGUGUGUGAGAGUGGAAAGUUCACACAGUGACGGUAACUUACCAGAAAGGGACGGCUAACUACGUGCCAGCAGCCGCGGUAAUACGUAGGUCCCGAGCGUUAUCCGGAUUUAUUGGGCGUAAAGCGAGCGCAGGCGGGUGGAUGAAGCU